rnacentral:miRNA from 1 species
AAGGGACAAAACAUUGAGCAG